rnacentral:rRNA from 1 species
UACGUAGGCAGCGAGCGUUGUUCGGAGUUACUGGGCGUAAAGGGUGCGUAGGCGGUUGUUUUAAGUUUGGUGUGAAAUCUCCCGGCUCAACUGGGAGGGUGCGCCGAAUACUGAAUGACUAGAGUGCGGGAGAGGAUAGUGGAAUUCCUGGUGAUAGCGGUGAAAUGCGUAGAUAUCAGGAGGAACACCGGUGGUGUAGACGGCUAUCUGGGACCG